AUCCUAUUUAAAAGGAUAUAAUGAUAAUUUUUGGAACAAUACCGAGAAGAUUAGCAUGGCCCCUGCACAAGGAUGACAUGUGAAUUCAUGAAGUGUUCAAUAGUUUG